GUAUUGUUAUUUAAAAAGCCAUUCAAUUACAUCAAUGGUGGUUUGUGAAGAGACAUAGACAAUGUAAGUUUUGCAACCACAAUGCCUACAGAGUGUGCACAGGUGGAUAUUGGUUUUGUUAAGAGUGCACAUUGCUCUUUGAAAAAAAGCCAGCACAUCCUUUAAAAAUCAAUAAUGAUCCUUCCGCAGGUUCACCUACGGAAA
rnacentral:misc_RNA from 1 species